UACGUAGGUGGCAAGCGUUGUCCGGAUUUACUGGGUGUAAAGGGCGUGUAGGCGGAGCUGCAAGUCAGAUGUGAAAUCCCGGGGCUCAACCCCGGAACUGCAUUUGAAACUGUAGCCCUUGAGUAUCGGAGAGGCAGGCGGAAUUCCUAGUGUAGCGGUGAAAUGCGUAGAUAUUAGGAGGAACACCAGUGGCGAAGGCGGCCUGCUGGACGACAACUGACGCUGAGGCGCGAAAGCGUGGGGAGCAAACA
rnacentral:rRNA from 1 species